UGAGGAAUCUUACGCAAUGGGGGAAACCCUGACGCAGCAACGCCGCGUGAGUGAGGAAGGUCUUCGGAUCGUAAAGCUCUGUCAGUUGGAAAGAAAUGUCUGAGAGUCAAUCCCUUUCAGGCUUGACGGUACCAACAGAGGAAGCACCGGCUAACUCCGUGCCAGCAGCCGCGGUAAUACGGGGGGUGCAAGCGUUGUUCGGAAUUAUUGGGCGUAAAGAGCGUGUAGGCGGCCGGAUAUGUCAGAUGUGAAAGCCCCGGGCUUAACGCGGUAAGUGCAUUUGAAACUGUCCGGCUCGAGUAGGGGAGUGGGAAGUGGAAUUCCUGGUGUAGAGGUAAAAUUCGUAGAUAACAAGAGGAACACCGGUGGCGAAGGCGACUUCCUGGCCCUAUACUGACGCUGAGACGCGAGAGCGUGGGUAGCAAACAG
rnacentral:rRNA from 1 species